rnacentral:rRNA from 1 species
UACGUAGGUGGCAAGCGUUGUCCGGAAUUAUUGGGCGUAAAGCGCGCGCAGGUGGUCCUUUAAGUCUGAUGUGAAAGCCCACGGCUCAACCGUGGAGGGUCAUUGGAAACUGGGGGACUUGAGUGCAGAAGAGGAUAGUGGAAUUCCAAGUGUAGCGGUGAAAUGCGUAGAGAUUUGGAGGAACACCAGUGGCGAAGGCGACUAUCUGGUCUGUAACUGACACUGAGGCGCGAAAGCGUGGGGAGCAAUCAGG